rnacentral:rRNA from 1 species
UACGAAGGGUGCAAACGUUGCUCGGAAUCAUUGGGCGUAAAGCGCACGUAGGCGGCUUGCCAAGUCGGACGUGAAAUCCCUCAGCUCAACUGAGGACGUGCAUCCGAAACUGGCGAGCUUGAGUACUUAAGAGGAUCGCGGAAUUCCCGGUGUAGAGGUGAAAUUCGUAGAUAUCGGGAGGAACACCAGUGGCGAAGGCGGCGAUCUGGGAAGAUACUGACGCUGAGGUGCGAAAGCGUGGGGAGCAAACAGG